GCGGGUAUUGCUCAACGGUAGGGUGUGUGCUUAGCAUGCACGAAGUCCUGGGUUAAAUCCCUAGUACCUCCA
rnacentral:tRNA from 1 species